rnacentral:rRNA from 1 species
ACGAUCAAUGACCGUUCUAACAGGGGAGUACCUUGACGGUACCUGACAACAAAGCCCCGGCUAGUAACGUGCCAGCAGCCGCGGUAA